rnacentral:lncRNA from 1 species
CAGCUCGUAGAACAACACCUGCACCAGCUGGUCCAGGGUUUCCCUUUGAAGAACCAUCAAAAUUCAAGAAUGCAUGAAAGCUGCAUCUGGCGGGUACAUAUAGCAUCGGUUAAAGAGGUAUUCCAAGAAGAUUUACCAAAUAACAUAAAUAUAUUAAUACGUAAAAGAACAUGGAUGUUCAUAUGAUCGGAGUAAGACCUUUGACUGCUGGCAGAAACAAGGAAAACUAGUAUAUAGAACAUGUACAACCUUAUCCAUACCUCA